CAAACUUAACAACCCCGGUUCUUGGUAUAAGCACUCAAAUUACCCUUCUUUCUACAUAUAAACACGGCCCGGGGUGUGCGGCUCUCCCCGGCCGCGGGGUCCCCCCGGCCCAGUCCGGCUCCCCCGCACCGACCCCGGCCCCGGCCGGAGGGAGUUUCUGCUGCGGGACACGGCAGGAGAACACGAGCCGAACACAGAAUCCCCGCUCCGCAUGGCUCCCCCGGGCUAGCGCUCAGGUGGUGUUGACAGAAGAAGAUGGGUAGGAGAUUUCAAUGGCAGGCACACGUGUCCCAGGAGAGGGUGAGACACCAACAGAGAUGGAGCAAGAAAUGAGCCUUGGACAGCUGCAGGAGAGAAACCCAAACCUUCUCUGGAAAGUAGGGUCACCUGCAGGCUGGGGACACCUUAUGAAACACCCAUCCCUCCAGACAUGUGUGAGCAUCAAGCAGCCACCAGGAGCUGGCAUGGGUCCCAUGGGCACUGGGAAAGGUGCAGAGCACAGCAAUAAGGGUGGCAGGUGCCACUCAGGACCCACCUUUCUGCUGGGAUGUGCCUAUGGAUAGAAGGGGAAAUGUGAAAGAGACAAUGGGGAAUCAAGGGAACACAGCAGCACCUAAAUGAAGGGGUGAAGACUGAACGUGUGAAACAAAAGUGGGGAGAAGAUCCACAGCGGGAGCAUCUCCUUCAGAGGGAGAUGAUUUCAGAGGGGUUGUGAGUGUUUGAGCCAGCUCAGGAUUUUUCUGGGAAAGGUUAGGCGGGUGUUUCUAGCCAGCUCUGUUGGGGAUGGCUGCAAUGUUUAUUCACGGUGGGGAAGGAAGGGACCAGCUGACUUUUAGAUCCCCAAAAGCAUAAAGAGUGGGCCCUUUUCUGUGAUCAUGGACAAUGAUUGUACUACUUCACCUCAGGGCUUUUCAGAUGUCAGCCAAGUCCCAACAAAUUAAAUGAUGAAGAAAGGGGGAAUAAACCCCAAUGCAAGCAAGGCAGCACAAUUUCCUCCCCUGCCUUAGGGCUGCCCUUACUAAAAGCUCAUCUGAUCCUACAUUUGGGACUGAAAGGUGAACUCCAAAUGCAGAGCAAACAUCCCUUUAUGGGGUCUCUCUUUUCACCCUUAGAACAGAGACCUCCCCAUUUCCACAGCUGCUGGGUGCAGCCUCUUGGUGCCACCAUCUCAGCCUUUUGUCCCAAGCAAGAUCUUCCUAUGGGAAGGCAAUUUUAUUCCCAUGCACCUUCCCUGGUUCUCUUUGGGUCUGUGUCCCCUCUCCAGCAUCCCUUCACCCUAUUAAUAUCCUUUGACUGUCCUCACACCUGCAGACAAUCUGGUCCCCAACCACCUCCACCUCCCCCCUUCCUCAAAAGCUUCCCUCAGCUGUCUUUAAGUCGUAGCUGAAAUCUGUGGUAUGUAGGAGGAGAAAUUCAGUCUGACAGCAGUUUAAAACACCGCACUACUUGGCAGAUUUAAAUGCUAUUUUAAAUAUAAGCUAUGACACAACGGACAAAAAUAGCAUUGAAAAUACCCUGUCAUGUUCCAUAUUGCGAGGAAUAGGGAAGCAGACCAGGCUAGAAAGGAGCAGAGAGAGGGGCCAGAUGGAGAGGAGAGGUUAUUUUGUUUGUUUUAAAGAAACUGGAUAAAUGUAUUUUGUAUGUGACUGAGUAAAUGUGUUUUAUACAGCAACGAGCCAAAAAAAAAAAUAAACCUUCUCAUGAAAAAUCUA